ACAGUCACACAUUAGAUACCCCUGUAGUCCAGGGUGUAAACGCUGCGGGCUUGGUGUUGGGGGUCCUUUGAGGGCGCCCAGUGCCGGAGAGAAGUUGUUAAGCCUGCUGCUUGGGGAGUACGUCCGCAAGGAUGAAACUUAAAGGAAUUGGCGGGGAGCACCGCAACGGGAGGAGCGUGCGGUUCAAUUGGAUUCAGCGCCGGACAACUCACCAGGAGCGACGGUUACAUGAAGGCCAGGCUGAUGACCUUGCCUGAUUUUCCG
rnacentral:rRNA from 1 species